rnacentral:pre_miRNA from 1 species
ACUUUAACAUGGAGGUGCUUUCUGUGAUUUUACAAAAGUAAGUGCUUCCAUGUUUUAGUAG